ACAAAUUUAUUCUUUAUAACAUUUGAUAAUUAAAAUAAAAAAUACCCUCUUCUAUACCCUCCCCCUCCUUUCCUCGUCAUCCUCCUUCCUCUCUUCUUCUCCCAUCUUCACUUCUUCCAAGUCACCAUCUUUUAUCGUCGGAGCUAUUCCACCGCAGUUUUUUCUCUUUCUUCAGUCAGCUCCUUCCAUGCGGUUUACCUCUCCGUCUCUCUCCUAUCACACCACCGACACAAUUUGACUCUCCGUCUUCUCUCUUGUCACACCACCGGUGAUACGUAAGGAACAUCGCCAGAGAAACAGAGUCACAGGAGGAAGGUUGGUGGGUGGUUAGACGUCGCACCGUCAAUUACAGUCUGCCACAGCGACGUGCAGGACGGCGCAUGUUGUGACGCCGUCGAGACUGAGGGAGGAGUCUGGGAUAGCAUUCAGUCAUCAACCAUUCAAACGUGGAUAGCGCCAUUCUGAUUAAGGUUUCUGACGAGGAUGGAUGAUUUCAGUGUUAGAGUUCAUCACAGGGG